rnacentral:rRNA from 1 species
UACGGGGGGAGCAAGCGUUGUUCGGAUUUACUGGGCGUAAAGGGCGCGUAGGCGGUCGUGACAAGUCACUUGUGAAAUCUCCGGGCUUAACUCGGAACGGUCAAGUGAUACUGUCGGACUAGAGUACAGAAGGGGCAACUGGAAUUCUCGGUGUAGCGGUGAAAUGCGUAGAGUAUCGAGAGGAACACCUGCGGCGAAGGCGGGUUGCUGGGC